UAGUCCACGCCCUAAACGAUGCUAACUCGAUGUUUGGACGUAAGUUUGAGCAUCCAAGGGAAACCGUUAAGUUAGCCACCUGGGGAGUACGUCGGCAACGAUGAAACUCAAAGGAAUUGACGGGGGCCCGCACAAGCGGUGGAGCAUGUGGUUUAAUUCGAUGAUACGCGAGGAACCUUACCAGGGCUUAAAUGCAUAUUGACAGGGUCAGAGAUGGCCUUUCCUUCGGGCAAUUUGCAAGGUGCUGCAUGGUUGUCGUCAGCUCGUGCCGUGAGGUGUCAGGUUAAGUCCUAUAACGAGCGCAACCCCUACCGUUAGUUGCCAGCGAGUAAUGUCGGGGACUCUAACGGGACUGCCGGUGCAAACCGUGAGGAAGUGGGGAUGACGUCAAAUCAUCACGGCCCUUACGUCCUGGGCCACACACGUGCUACAAUGGCCGGUACAGAGAGCAGCCAUCCGGUAACGGAGCGCGAAUCUACAAAACCGGUCACAGUUCGGAUCGGGGUCUGCAACUCGA
rnacentral:rRNA from 1 species